rnacentral:rRNA from 1 species
UACGAAGGGUGCAAGCGUUACUCGGAAUUACUGGGCGUAAAGCGUGCGUAGGUGGUUUGUUAAGUCUGAUGUGAAAGCCCUGGGCUCAACCUGGGAACUGCAUUGGAAACUGGCUGACUAGAGUGCGGUAGAGGGGUGUGGAAUUCCCGGUGUAGCAGUGAAAUGCGUAGAUAUCGGGAGGAACAUCUGUGGCGAAGGCGACACCCUGGACCAGCACUGACACUGAGGCACGAAAGCGUGGGGAGCAAAC